UAAUACUGUCAGGUAAAGAUGUA
rnacentral:ncRNA from 2 species